CCGUUUAUAUUCAUAUCUAUUCUUAAAUUUCUUUGCAGGAACGCUCAUUGAUUACUUUGUUUGGUGAAUAUUUGUAGGUGUCUCAAUGAAAUCCCAGUUAUUAAGAGCAUGUUUAGAGUGAAUUACCAGUAAAAAUUUAAAUUUUUCGAAGCAUCCGACCGCAAUAUUAGGGAAACGUGAGAAUUGUGCAUGGAGCUGUAUUCCAGAAUCACUGUAAUCAAAGGUUCCAUCAUUUAGAAAAUUUUUGAUGGCAUCCAAGCCGCUGCCACGAAGGCUUGCAGCAUUGUAUGGGUCCAUGCAACCCUUUUACGGCCUGACUCUGUUGUAUAGCUAUUUUACUUUGCUGCUCCAACUUUUUACGGGAGCUAUGACUCAGUUGGUCUUAUCCAAACUUCCACUAGCCGCAGCUCCACCAGCCUUCUGUGGUCUCUUUGUAUGGUUUGGGGAAUUUACAUCGGCUCUGCUACAAAGAGAGGUUUGGUAUCCACCAAGUGGCUACUAGCUUGAUUGCUGGGAAUUCUAGGAGUGCUUUUACUGGCGGCGAUAUUGGUGCUAUGUUCUUUCUUUGAGACCAUUUGAUCGGGAACACUUGCUACUGUUGUGCCAUGUGCUGGAGUCGGUGUAUGUUUUUCGCCUUAGAUGCCAAUUUUGACAUUUGAUGGUACCACAAAAGUUGCUUUGUUGUAGCAAUUCGCCGAUGCGGUUACCAGUUAAAUCUACCUUCCUUCACCCCUAAACAUACUGGCUAUUGAUCUCAAUCCCAUUCAGUAGGAAAAAAUCGCACAUAAAAACGCAACAGAUAUUCUGAAUAGCAAUUUUUUUAUGGAAGCUGAUAUUCUAUUUUAAAUGACGUCAUGAUCCAGUGUAUAAGCAGAUAAACGAUGUAGCUAAAGAAUAAAAGGAUUUUUGCUGUUGGGUGUUCUCUGGUGCAGACACUUUUCUCGACUGAGCUCCCAUAUACCUCCUUGAUAUAAACGGAAUACAAUUCCGUAGAGAUGAAUUCCGUGAAAAAUGAUAAGGAUAAGAUGGUUCACCCAACGGGUAUAUAGCAAAGCAUCACCCAUUCAAAUUGGGACGUUCACUUCGCUGUAUUUCUAUGAAUGCAACAUAAACAGCUGUAUACUGUGGCCGUUUCCAUUGCUGCUUUUAUUACACAUCACUCAACAUGUCGUAGCAGUCCAACGGAAAAUAUUGACUUCGCGUUGAAGCAGUUCAGUUGUCAACAUCGGAUGCAACAGUACUAAGGCUGGGGAAAGGAAACAUAUACCUAGCGUCCGUUUACCUGCCGUUCGACGCGCCGACAUCACCACCUUCGUAGGAACUGCAGCGGCUGGUGAGCAAAACAAAACAAACAGAACUUCUUUAUGGCUUUAUAGCUGCCCACAGUUAUUGCGACACGGCAUAGGCGAAAUUCAAAUCGGGGGAUACCAAUCCUCCAUGGAAAAAGCAGACCUCCUCUCAUGUACUUCUUGAGGAGGCCCACGUAUAUCUUGUUGUGAUGGGCGCUUUCUGUUUGAUUGUACGCCACAUGCAUUGGAGUGUUGAUGCCCUGUCUUUGCAUGGAACAGUUCGAGAAUGGUUGUUGCUGCCGCUGCAUAUGUACACUGUUAACAUGCGAUACAUUUUGGGCAAUGUCGCUAGAGAUGUUGGCGGGUGAAUUCAUACCAUGUGGUGCAAUUUUAUUCAAGUCCUAGGUGUUGAGAUUAUGUCCAGCAUUGGCCUUAAUAUGUAAUUUAUCGUGGACAUUUCCAUUCGGCCCAGACGUAGAAGAUAUUACAGUUGUGGGCUUGUGUAAACAUUUCGAGGGCUAACUAUCAAUUUGGGACUUUUGCAAUGGACCCCGAGAGUCGUAUUAUUACUUGGCUUAAUUUCCACACACAACAUAAAAUGUAAACAAUCAUCUCGUUUGGUUUGGAUUGGUUUAAACAAAUUUGCCGCAAACUUUAAAUGUCAUGGCGAAUAUAUAUUUUUCGCCUUAGAUGCCAAUUUUGACAUUUGAGGGUACCACAAAAGUUGCUUUGUUGUAGCAAUUCGCCGAUGCGGUUACCUGUUAGAUCUACCUUGGGCCGGUCAUUCAUCAUUUUCGCCUCAUUUUGUUGUCGUUAGUCGGAGGAGUCGGAGGUGUCGACAUGUUCGGGGAAUUGAUGUCAUUAGUAAAAAGCCCAAACGCAACAAUACUUCACAAUAUGCUAGGAAUUCGGAGCAAAUUGUGAUGUGCGUGUUUUAUUCAUUUUUUCGUUUUUUUGUUUGUAAUCGGCCCUCAAGGAAAUAAUAAAGGAUUUCCCUAAAAAUAAGAAGUAUGCUUUGCCGAGCCGACCAUGUGCCCUAAUAUAAGGAUAUGAUGCCUACAAAAACAGGAAGUUAAUAUGUGGUCCGUUUAUAUUCAUAUCUAUUCUUAAAUUUCUUUGCAGGAACGCUCAUUGAUUACUUUGUUUGGUGAAUAUUUGUAGGUGUCUCAAUGAAAUCCCAGUUAUUAAGAGCAUGUUUAGAGUGAAUUACCAGUAAAAAUUUAAAUUUUUCGAAGCAUCCGACCGCAAUAUUAGGGAAACGUGAGAAUUGUGCAUGGAGCUGUAUUCCAGAAUCAAAGGUUCCUUCAUUUAGAAAAUUUUUGAUGGCAUCCAAGCCGCUGCCACGAAGGCUUGCAGCAUUGUAUGGGUCCAUGCAACCCUUUUACGGCCUGACUCUGUUGUAUAGCUAUUUUACUUUGCUGCUCCAACUUUUUACGGGAGCUAUGACUCAGUUGGUCUUAUCCAAACUUCCACUAGCCGCAGCUCCACCAGCCUUCUGUGGUCUGUGGAAACUCUUUGUAUGGUUUGGGGAAUUUGCAUCGGAUCUGCUACAAAGAGAGGUUUGGUAUCCACCAAGUGGCUACUAGCUUGAUUGCUGGGAAUUCUAGGAGUGCUUUUACUGGCGGCGAUAUUGGUGCUAUGUUCUUUCUCUGAGACCAUUUGAUCGGGAACACUUGCUACUGUUGUGCCAUGUGCUGGAGUCGGUGUAUGUUUUUCGCCUUAGAUGCCAAUUUUGACAUUUGAGUGUACCACAAAAGUUGCUUUGUUGCAGCAAUUCGCCGAUGCGGUUACCAGUUAAAUCUACCUUUCUUCACCCCUAAACAUACUGGCUAUUGAUCUCAAUCCCAUUCAGUAGGAAAAAAUCGCACAUAGAAACGCAACAGAUAUUCUGAAUAGCAAUUUUUUUAUGAAAGCUGAUAUUCUAUUUUAAAUGACGUCAUGAUCCAGUGUAUAAGCAGAUAAACGAUGUAGCUAAAGAAUAAAAGGAUUUUUGCUGUUGGGUGUUCUCUGGUACAGACACUUUUCUCGACUGAGCUCCCAUAUACCUCCUUGAUAUAAACGGAAUACAAUUCCGUAGAGAUGAAUUCCGUGAAAAAUGAUAAGGAUAAGAUGGUUCACCCAACGGGUAUAUAGCAAAGCAUCACCCAUUCAAAUUGGGACGUUCACGUAAGCACACCUGGUGCUGCUAUUGAGACUAUUUAUAUCCUUAUGGUAGGGCAUAACUUAAGUUAACUUUAUGUUUUUGUUUAUCAUUGACUGUGUGUGCAUGCUAUUAUUUAUUAACCCAGUAAAUUCGUCGAAACUAGAUUUUGCAAAUUUUUUGUUAUGUGCCUCCAACAAUUUUUACGGACUUCGUUACCAUAUUGUUUUUGCAACCACACAUCUUUUAUCUUGGUCUAUUUCAAAUUCCAUUUUUUGUUUUACAGAAAAGAGUAAUGACUGCAUUGUUGAAAAUAUUGCCCUAUUUUUGGACAUUAUACUUGAUAUGGAACAGCGCGCUAUAUUGUAAAAGUCUACAUUCAAAUACAACAUAUUGGGAUUUUGAUAUACUGCAUAAAGAAAACUUCAAAAUAUUAUAACCUUGUACUAACUCUGCUUUUUGUUCCAGGUAGUUCGCUGUAUUUCUAUUAAUGCAACAUAAACAGCUGUAUACUGUGGCCGUUUCCAUUGCUGCUUUUAUUACACAUCACUCAACAUGUCGUAGCAGUCCAACGGAAAAUAUUGACUUCGCGUUGAAGCAGUUCAGCCACUUCUUGGCUGAAGUCAAUAAAUGAAAAGACAACAAUCCUUUUCAGUAUUAUUUGUCCAGCUUUACACAUGUUUUUUACUUUUGUAUUUCUAUGACCAGCUAAUUCGAGUGAGCUGUUGUGAAUAAUAAAAUGUAAAUAAAAUGAUGAACAUAUGUUUCUAAAGGUACGGCCACACUGGGCAAAUAUUUGAUCGAAAUUUGUUUUCCCAUAUUUGACUAAACAAAUGUGAAAUUCAUACAGAGUUGAUUCGAUGUUCACAUUACAGUCAAAUAUUUGACAGAUUUUGUUUGUUCAAGCAGUCACCACACAGCGUCAAAUAGUGCUAUGGGAAAACAUGUUUGACACGUGUUCACAUUCGUAAAAUAUAUUUUCCCAUUAAAUUGUUUGAUCAAACUGUCAGGAAACAUAAGUUUAUUUGGCCGAGAGAAAUAGACAGAGAGGGUGAAAGAGAGACAUAAAGAAAAUGGAGUUUAUUUGGAGAAGGGAAGCAAAAGACCAGCUGUUGUGGAAUAAAUUCCUUGUCAGAACUUUUUUUUUGCAUUUUUUUUAUGUUUGUAUCAUGGUAGAAAAAUACAGGUAGUCGCAUCGACAUAGCUGCUGGGACAAUGAACUGUCAAAACAAUUUUGGCAUUGAAAAUAAUCAAUGAAAUAUUAUUGAAAUUUGUAAAAAUUGUUUAAAAAUACAUAUCAAUACAACCUCCGUUUUGCAUCGUAUAAGAAAACAUAGAACAAACUACUUAUUUUUGUCAAAACAUUUCAAAAUUUUUGACAUAUCAAUGUUUCAAGCGUUGAUGCAUAUACCUAUAUCCUGUUACAGAACCUGGAAGAAUCUACUAGUUUCGCAAUUUUUUUUUAUAUAAUAGAAGGAAAAUCGGUUAUCGUAGUAAAAACAUUUGCACUUUUGCAGUUCUGGAAAAGACCAUAUAUUAAAAAUUUUACUAAACAUUAAUUUAAAAAUAUCAAAUAAACAAAACCACUUAUUGUAUUCGUUUGUUUUUCUAUUCAUUAAACAUCAUGUUACAAAUGCUCUUGUUCUUAAAGCAAAAUGCUGCCCAAGGUUUUAAACUGAUAUUUUUCCUUGUUUGACCUUACAAAACAUUUGCACCGUCAAAUGAAUGUUUGACCCAAAAAGAGGAAAAUAAUUGAUCAUAUGUGUUCACAUUAUGGACACACUGGUCAAAUUAUUGUUUUCUGGCAAAUAAUUUUGUUUUCCCAAAAUCAGCUGUUUUUGUAUUUACCGUCAAAUAAUAUUUGGUGGUCAGAUUGUGACAAAGAAAUAUUUCAAAUUUUUCGUCAAAUAUUUGCCCAAUGUGACCUUACCUUUAGGGUCAUUAUUACAUGUUUUAUUUUACUAUUGGAUUGAAUUUGAAAACACAAAAUAAAACAAUUUGGAGGCAGUAAAAGUAUAAUUUUUGGAUUAUAAGCUAACAUAGGGAAGGCCCAGCAUGAAAUUAAAAGAUAACUUUCAACUUCAAGACAGCUGGAGUGUUAUGAAUCUGUACGAAAACUCCAAUCUAUUACAAAGAAAGACCAAUAAUGAAGGAGUUAAAGUUUUAAAAACUUAUUGCGAAUGAAUCAUUAUAAUGUCGGACUUAUAACUAAUUGUAUUGGUUUAUACUCCAGUUCUAAUAUCAUUAUUAGGAAUAAGUAAUUAUACACAAUUAUUACAAAAAAAGUAAUCAUUGAUGGUACUGCCAUCUAGACAGCGCCAUCUAGAUGUUCCAUUUAGCAGUAUCAUAAGUCAGGAUUCACCAUGGUUAUAAUGGGGUUAUGAUUUCAACUCUGAAACUUAUCCAUAUGCAGUCUGACCUCUGCCUUGAGUGGUAUUUCAAGUCAUUGCAGUUAUUGAAGUCGUCAGAAAAGUGUCAUAAAUUGUGAGGUUAUCACUUUGAAAAGGAAACAUAAUCAGAGUUCGUGAUUAAAUCUGACGAUACCGUUAUUGACCAAGACAGUACCAAGUUACUUAAUUGUCCCUAAAUUUUAAUUAAAUCAAAUAUUCAUAUAAAGUGGAAAUAUUCAAAAAUAAUUAUUGAGUGUAAUUGGGUAAAGAAUAUCAAAAUUUACCGAAAAGGUCUUUAAAAUAUACUUCUCUUGGGUGAGCAUAUGUUUCAUAAUUGUUCAAAAUUAUUGAAUAAAUUGUGAUUUAAGAAGAUACUGAAAAAUUUCUCAUAUUUCAUUCAGAAUAUUGUGGUCGAAUUUCAAAGAAAUCUGCUUGAAGAUUUGCCACAAUAUUCCAAUUUAGGUCGGAUGAGAACCCUACCAGAAAUUUUAUUCUAAUUGUAACGAGCAGAUGGCGACUCAAUCUAAAUUAAAAUUGGUGCUUGUGAUUACACCAAAAGUUGUAGUCUUGGCUAACUUCAAGAAAAUUUGCUAUUUACCACCAGUCAUUGUAAAGAAUACGAGUGAGUACACCAAAACAGAAAUAAAAAGAUAAGUGUAAAUACAGCUUAAAUUACUACAAGCAAGUACGUAACAGAAAAUCUUACAGAAAUUGUUUCAAAGUGAUCCUCAUAUGUUAAAUAUGAAGAAAACUCGUUAACUACAAAAUAUUAUUUGAAACAACCACAAAAUCCUCUUUCACGCGGUUAUAAACAGCCAUAUAUCAAAAUUCAAUAACCUAACUUUCAUUUACACCUACAUGUGGAAAUUCAAUAUACCUAACCUUAAAGGAGAAUUUUAGGCGCUUUGAUUUAUUUAUCAAUUUAAAAAUCAAUUUAACGAUUUUUUUUAUUUACUAAGCAUGCAUGCAAACAAAAAAAUAUCGCAUAUGGUGAAAGUGAUUGCCGUUGUUACGCCUUUUCAACCUUAUCUUCCGACGUUUAUACUAUUAGCAUAUAUUAUUACUCAUAGUUUUUUUGUAUUAUGUGACAGCUACUUCUUGACUGAAGUCAAUAAAUGAAAAGACAACAAUCCUUUUCAGUAUUAUUUGUCCAGCUUUACACAUGUUUUUUUUUUUUACUUUUGUAUUUCUAUGACCAGCCAGUUUGAGUGAGCUGUUGUGAAUAAUAAAAUGUGCAAAUAGGUUUACACCAAAACUCUUGUGAGUUGACAAACAGUUGUACGACAAAUCUUUUCG